rnacentral:rRNA from 1 species
AGAGUUUGAUCCUGGCUCAGGAUAAACGCUGGCGGCGUGCCUAACACAUGCAAGUCGAACGCUCUCUGGUAACAGAGGGAGUGGCGGACGGGUGAGUAACACAUGGGAAUCGACCCACACGUGAGGAAUACCACCGGGAAACCGGUGACAAUACCGCAUACGCUCAGCAAUGAGCAAAGCUCUCGGUAACGGGGGCGCGAGUGGACGAGCCUGUGCCUGAUUAGUUAGUUGGUGGGGUAAGAGCCUACCAAGACUGCGAUCAGUCGCUGGUCUGAGAGGAUGAUCAGCCACACUGGGAUUGAGAACGGCCCAGACUCCUACGGGGGGCAGCAGUGAGGAAUCUUCGGCAAUGGGGGCAACCCUGACCGAACAACGCCGCGUGCAGGACGACGGCCUUCGGGUUGUAAACUGCUUUUCUGGGGGAUGAGAGUGGACAGUACCCCAGGAAGAAGCUCCGGCUAACUACGUGCCAGCAGCCGCGGUAAUACGUAGGGAGCAAGCGUUGUCCGGAGUUACUGGGCGUAAAGCGCACGCAGGCGGUCUGUCGCGUUCGUGCCGACAGCGACUCGCCUAACGAGUCGAGGAGUACGGAAACGGGCAGACUUGAGGGUCAGAGAGGGACACGGAACUCCGGGUGGAGUGGUGAAAUGCGUAGAGAUCCGGAAGAACACCAAAGGCGAUGGCAGUGUCCUGGCUGAUACCUGACGCUCAGAGGCGACAGCGAGGGGAGCGAACGGGAUUAGAUACCCCGGUAGUCCUCGCCGUAAACGAUGACCACGAGAUGUCCGGGGGAUCGACCCCCUGGGUGUCGCAGCUAACGCAGUCAGUGGUCCGCCUGGGGAGUACGGUCGCAAGAUUAAAACUUAAAGGAAUUGACGG